rnacentral:rRNA from 1 species
AUUAAACGCUGGCGGCAUGCCUUACACAUGCAAGUCGAACGGCAGCACGGGGGCAACCCUGGUGGCGAGUGGCGGACGGGUGAGUAAAGCAUCGGAACGUAUCCUGGAGUGGGGGAUAACGUAGCGAAAGUUACGCUAAUACCGCAUAUUCUGUGAGCAGGAAAGCAGGGGAUCGCAAGACCUUGCGCUCUGGGAGCGGCCGAUGUCGGAUUAGCUAGUUGGUGGGGUAAAGGCCUACCAAGGCGACGAUCCGUAGCGGGUCUGAGAGGAUGAUCCGCCACACUGGGACUGAGACACGGCCCAGACUCCUACGGGAGGCAGCAGUGGGGAAUUUUGGGACAAUGGGCGGAAGCCUGAUCCAGCCAUGCCGCGUGAGUGAAGAAGGCCUUCGGUUGUAAGG